rnacentral:rRNA from 1 species
UACGAAGGGUGCAAGCGUUACUCGGAAUUACUGGGCGUAAAGCGUGCGUAGGUGGUUUGUUAAGUCUGUUGUGAAAGCCCCCGGGCUCAACCUGGGAAUGGCAAUGGAUACUGGCAGGCUAGAGUGCGGUAGAGGGUAGUGGAAUUCCCGGUGUAGCGGUGAAAUGCGUAGAGAUCGGGAGGAACACCAGUGGCGAAGGCGGCUACCUGGACCAGCACUGACACUGAGGCACGAAAGCGUGGGGAGCAAACAGG